AUGUCUACAAUGGUCAAUCAAAACACACCGCGAGCAAAAUACAAAGUACAAAAACAUUAAAUAAAUGCAUCUCAAUCGAAUAUGAAGUAAUUAUAGGUGGGAAUGGAAGAGGAUUUAACAUUUAAAUGUCUUACCAUAGUAGGACAAGAUCGACAGGCAAAUUAAUAGAUUCUCCAUUUUCAAAACUAAAAUAAUAAUACAUAGAAUGUUGAUUUUAUCAAAAAAUGAUUAGUUCCCUUUGCUGUAAUGAAGAACCCCUGCAUAGUCAAGGUCAUAAUGGAAGACUGUCCUCGCUGCAGCCUGUAGCACGAUGACGUAGCUGGAUCAGAUCCAAUACGUACUGGACGUUGUUGUGUUUUGGUGACGUCAUAGACGCAUGCUCAGUAGAGAGUUGGUAAACGAUCGCACGUGCUUUGGUCUUCCGAGAAGAGUCUACAGAAAACGGCCGAUUAAUUAACAGUGAUUGUUUAUCGGUACACCUCCACAGUCCCUAAAUGAUAGUGAAAGACACACCUGUGAUAUUACACAAAUAGACCAAGUACACUACCCCAGCCAAGGUUCAGUGAUUGACAUGACAGCCCUACGAAAUGUGCAGCCAAACAGGGCAUGCUGGAUCCAUCCACAAAGCAGUGACCAAAUAUUGAUGGUAUGUUGAAUUUUUUGCAUUUUUAUGCAAAGUGUAUAAUCAUACUUACACUUCGUUUUUCUAGAUAAAAAAUGCUUUAAAUGAAAAGGAAUCACAACAACAAUUUUUGGCACAAGUAGGAGUACCAAUUCUGAACAGAUCAGAUUUUUUUUUACCUUGGGACAUCCAAAUGAUGUUGAAGGGACUGUG
ensembl:lncRNA